GGUCGCCUCUCGACCCUCCGGCUGCCCGCCCGAUCGAUAGGCGCCGUCGCGAGCCGCCGCGUCCGUGUCGUAGCGUAGCGUAGCUUACCUUACCGUACCGUGUGGUGUCGUGCCAGCCGCCUGCUGCCGCUGCUGUCCGCUCUGCCCCGCUGCUGCAACACGUGUGCCGGCUGCAGCCCAGGCCGCGACCAGAAACGAUCGUCUCUCCACCAACUUCUGUGAUCACUUCCGAACAAGUGCUACAUACACAGUGCAGCAAAAUAAUGAGGGCAGUUCCAUGGCAGCGUCCGGCGGGGGCGCGCAGACGCUGGGCAGCCGUCGCUGAGGACCCGGUCCACUGAGAUCUGCGACAGGAUGUCGAUGACAGGCAGUCUGAUGCCAUUCGAUACGAGCAGCGAGGUCGGCUCUGGCGGCGGAGGAAGCGGAAGCGGCGGAGCUGGGGGCGGCAGCGGCGGCGGGAGCGGCGUCGGAGGCGGC